rnacentral:tRNA from 1 species
AAGAAGGUGGCUGAGUGGUUUAAAGCGAUAGACUGUAAAUCUAUUUUCUUGAAAGAAAUUCGUAGGUUCGAAUCCUACUCUUCUUA